rnacentral:tRNA from 1 species
GGCAUGGUGGCUUAGAGCGCCCGCCUCAUGAACGGGAGGUCGUGGGUUCGAUCUCCGUCUGAGUCA